rnacentral:rRNA from 1 species
GAUGAACGCUGACAGAAUGCUUAACACAUGCAAGUCUACUUGAAAUUAUCUUCGGGUAAUGGAAGGUGGCGGACGGGUGAGUAACGCGUAAAGAACUUGCCCCUCAGACUGGGACAACUGUUGGAAACGACAGCUAAUACCGGAUAUUAUGAGACCUUGGCAUCAAGGUUUUAUGAAAGCUAUAUGCGCUGGGGGAGAGCUUUGCGUCCUAUUAGCUAGUUGGUGAGGUAAUGGCUCACCAAGGCGACGAUAGGUAGCCGGCCUGAGAGGGUGAACGGCCACAAGGGGACUGAGACACGGCCCUUACUCCUACGGGAGGCAGCAGUGGGGAAUAUUGGACAAUGGACCAAAAGUCUGAUCCAGCAAUUCUGUGUGUUUGAUGAAGGCCUUCGGGUUGUAAAGAACUUUCAAUGGGGAAGAAGCAAGUGACGGUACCCAUAGAAGAAGCGACGGCUAAAUACGUGCCAGCAGCCGCGGUAAUACGUAUGUCGCAAGCGUUAUCCGGAAUUAUUGGGCAUAAAGGGCAUCUAGGCGGUUUGGUAAGUUCGAUGUGAAAAUGCGGGGCUCAACUCCGUAUUGCGUUGAAAACUGCCAGACUAGAGUUUUGGAGAGGUAGGCGGAACUACAAGUGUAGAGGUGAAAUUCGUAGAGAUUUGUAGGAAUGCCGAUGACGAAGGUAGCUUACUGGACAAAUACUGACGCUGAAGUGCGAAAGCUAGGGGAGCAAACAGG